UUGAUCCUGGCUCAGAUUGAACGCUGGCGGAAUGCUUUACACAUGCAAGUCGAGCGGCAGCGCGGGGCAACCUGGCGGCGAGCGGCGAACGGGUGAGUAACACAUCGGAACGUACCCUGUUGUGGGGGAUACCCGGCGAAAGCCGGAUUAAUACCGCAUAAGACCUGAGGGUGAAAGCGGGGGACCGCAAGGCCUCGCGCGACAGGAGCGGCCGAUGGCGGAUUAGCUAGUUGGUGGGGUAAAGGCUCACCAAGGCGACGAUCCGUAGCUGGUCUGAGAGGAUGAUCAGCCACACUGGAACUGAGACACGGUCCAGACUCCUACGGGAGGCAGCAGUGGGGAAUUUUGGACAAUGGGGGCAACCCUGAUCCAGCCAUUCCGCGUGAGUGAAGAAGGCCUUCGGGUUGUAAAGCUCUUUCGGCAGGAACGAAACGGUGGGCUCUAACAUAGUCUGCUAAUGACGGUACCUGAAGAAGAAGCACCGGCUAACUACGUGCCAGCAGCCGCGGUAAUACGUAGGGUGCGAGCGUUAAUCGGAAUUACUGGGCGUAAAGCGUGCGCAGGCGGUUUCGUAAGACAGAUGUGAAAUCCCCGGGGCUUAACCUGGGAACUGC
rnacentral:rRNA from 1 species